GCGCAUGUGGUGAAAUUGGUAGACACGCCAUCUUGAGGGGGUGGUGACCAAACGGUUGUGCUGGUUCGAAUCCAGUCAUGCGCA
rnacentral:tRNA from 1 species